rnacentral:rRNA from 1 species
GGGAGCUCUCCCAUAUGGUCGACCUGCAGGCGGCCGCGAAUUCACUAGUGAUUAGAGUUUGAUCAUGGCUCAGAUUGAACGCUGGCGGCAGGCUUAACACAUGCAAGUCGAGCGGGGAAAGGUAGCUUGCUACCUGACCUAGCGGCGGACGGGUGAGUAAUGCUUAGGAAUCUGCCUAUUAGUGGGGGACAACAUCUCGAAAGGGAUGCUAAUACCGCAUACGUCCUACGGGAGAAAGCAGGGGACCUUCGGGCCUUGCGCUAAUAGAUGAGCCUAAGUCGGAUUAGCUAGUUGGUGGGGUAAAGGCCUACCAAGGCGACGAUCUGUAGCGGGUCUGAGAGGAUGAUCCGCCACACUGGGACUGAGACACGGCCCAGACUCCUACGGGAGGCAGCAGUGGGGAAUAUUGGACAAUGGGGGGAACCCUGAUCCAGCCAUGCCGCGUGUGUGAAGAAGGCCUUUUGGUUGUAAAGCACUUUAAGCGAGGAGGAGGCUACCGAGAUUAAUACUCUUGGAUAGUGGACGUUACUCGCAGAAUAAGCACCGGCUAACUCUGUGCCAGCAGCCGCGGUAAUACGAAUCGAAUUCCCGCGGCCGCCAUGGCG